CCAGGCAAGCCACAACCACCAUUUGCAUGAUAGCCAUGCAGAAGCAUUGGUUUUCAACUUGAAUCUUUAAUAACUGCCUGUUCGUUUUGCUACCGCUGUCGGUAUUUCGGUUAUGCUUAUGGAUCGGUGUUUACGCUCAUGUUAUGUUUUCUUGCACUCUGUUAUUAUGUUCUUCAUGCUAGUAUUACUUUAAUAUUGGCAAUGUUUGGUAGUAGUACAUGUUGGUGAUGGUCUUCGGUGCAUGACUAUCGUCUGGUCCGAGUACCGCCGUUAUGCAUGUUUCUUUGCAUCCAGUUGAUUAAAUACUUGCAUGGUAGUUUUAUCGUUAUGUUAUUGCAUGGUAUUUAUUAUUGAUGCUUGAUACGUCUCCAACGUAUCUAUAAUUUAUGAAGUCUUCAUGCUAUUAUAUUAUCAACCUUGGAUGUUUUAUAUGCAUUUAUAUGCUAUUUUAUAUGAGUUUUGGGACUAACCUAUUAACCUAGAGCCCAGUGCCAGUUUCUGUUUUCUCCUUGUUUUAGAAUAUCGCAGAAAAGGAAAACCAAACGGAGUCCAAUUGACCUGAAACUUGACGGAGCUUAUUUUUGGACCAGAAGAAGGCCAAGGAGUCAAAGAGUUGGGCCGGAAGAGUCCCGGGCUGCCCACGAGGGUGGGGGCGCGCCCACCCCCUGGGCGCGCCUCCCUGCCUCGUGGACAGCCCGGAGACCCCCUGACUUGUUCUCGAUGCCAACACCUCUCAUAUAUACCCAAACUUCCAGAAAGAAACCUAGAUCGGAAGUUCCGCCGCUGCAAGCCUCUGUAGCCACGAGAAAUCAAUCUAGGCCCUCUCUGGCACCCUGUCGGAGGGGGCCAUCAUCACUGGUGGCCAUGGAGGAGUAUCCCGGAGAGGCCAUCAUUGCCAUGAAGGCCAAGGACCAGAGGGAGAACCUUUCCCCAUCCAGGGGGAGGCCAUGGAGGAGGAAGCACAAGGGGGAGAAACUCUCCUCCUCUCUCUUGGUGGCAUUGGAGUGCCAUCGGGAGGGGAAUCAUCGUCGCGGUGAUCGUCUUCAUCAACAUCACCAUCAUCAUCACCAUCCUCAUCUCUUUUACGCGGUCCACUCUCCCGCACCCCGCUGUAAUCCCUACUUGAACAUGGUGCUUUAUGCCACAUAUUAUGAUCCAAUGAUGUGUUGCUAUCCUAUGAUGUUUUGAGUAGAUAUCCUUUGUCUUUGGGUUGAUUGAUGAUCUAGAUUGCUACGAGUUGUAUGUUUUAUUUUGGUGCUGUCCUAUGGUGCCCUCCGUGUCGCGCAAGCAUGAGGGACUCCCGCUAUAGGGUGUUGCAAUACGUUCAUGAUUCGCUUAUAGUGGGUUGGUGAGUGACUGAAACACAAACCCGAGUAAGGGGGUUGUUGCGUAUGGGAAUAAAGAGGACUUGAUGCUUUAAUGCUAUGGUUGGGUUUUAGCUUAAUGAUCUUUAGUAGUUGCGGAUGCUUGCUAGAGUUCCAAUCAUAAGUGCAUAUGAUCCAAGUAGAGAAAGUAUGUUAGCUUAUGCCUCUCCCUCAUAUGAAAUUGCAAUGACGACUACCGGUCUUGUUAACAAUUGCCUAGGACAAUUCCGCACACCGAUCCACCAUUAUUCCACACUCGCUAUUUAUAAUAUUUAGUAAUAUAUUCUAAAUUUAUGAUAACAGCACCUACUUUUAUAUUUUAGCUCUCCGAUAUCAUGCAAAGUUAUCCUCUUCAUACCCACAACGUAGUUUUAUUUCUCGUUUCUAGUUGGAAGCAAACAUUCGGUGUACGUAGAGUCGUAUUAGUGGCAGAUAGGACUUGAGAUAAUAUUGAUCUUACCUUUAGCUCCUUGUGGUUUCAACACUCCAUACUUAUCACUUCCACCUUUGGAAAUUGCUACGAUGAUUCCCUGCACUUGGGGAUUAUCAAGCUCUUUUCUGGCGCCGUUGCCGGGGAGCAAUAGUGUGGGGUUUAUAUUCUCGUGUGUGCUUGUUUGCUUUCUUCACUAAGUAGAUUUUGUUUUUCCUUUUUGUUUAUAUUUAGUUGUGGGUGAAACAUACAAAAAAAAUUAAAGAAUGAAAAUACAAAAAAAUUAUUACUUGCCUCUCAUGCCUAAAAAGUUUUUCAAAAAGAGAACUGAUUGGAAAGUUAUGCAUUGAAGAAGUGAGGGUCGACCUUGAGCACUUGUGUUCAUGCUCACGGAAACAAUGUAGAAUUUUUCAUGGAAGUUUCUCUGUAAAUAAUUAUCCCCUUGUAUAUAUCCAUUGUAUUAUAAAAAUAAUGUGCCAAGCUUUGGUUUUAGGAUGAUUAGAUUGCUUGUUUACUAUGUGCAGAACAAAAACAGAAACUUUGGCUGUAGUGCAUGAAUUUAUAUUUUUGACUGGAAGGUCAAAUGGAUCUUAAACUACUUGCACAUUACUUCUCUACAAAUUUUUCAAAUUUUCAAAUUUAUUUCAUAAUUUUAGGAUUUACAGAAGUUUACUAAACUUCCAGAUUACUACAGACUGUCCUGUUUUUGACAGAUUCUGUUUUUCGCGUGUUGUUUGCUUAUUUUUAUGAAUCUAUGGCUAGUAUCGGUGGGUAUGAACCAUACAGAAGUUGGAAUACAGUAGGUUUAACACCAAUAAAAAUAAAGAAUGAGUUCAUUACAGUACCUUAAAGUGGUAGUUUGCUUUAUUACACUAACGGAUCUCACAAAGUUUUUGUUAAAGUUUUGUGUGGAUGAAGUGUUCGAAGAACGAGGAGUUACCGAUGUGAGAAGAAUAAAGAGAGGCAAGAUUUCAAGCUUGGGGAUGCCCAAGGCACCCCAAGUAAAUAUUCCAAGGAUACUCAAGCAUCUAAGCUUGGGGAUGCCCCGGUUGGCAUCACAUCUUUGUUCUUCAACAAUUAUCGGUAUACCUCAGUUUUUGUUUUGUUCACAUUAUUUGUGUCCUUUGUGUUUUUCUUUUUCUGUAAGAACCAUGCUAGUAUGAGAUGUCCCUUCAUAAAUUUACAGAAUACUUCAGGUGCUUCACUUAUAUCUUUUAAGUAUGAUCUUAUAGAAUUGCUCUUUGUGCUUCACUUAAAUCUUUUGAGUAUGGUUUUAUAGAAUGCUUCGUGUGCUUCACUUAUAUAUUUUGAGCUUGGAUAUUGGUUAGUGUAUAUUAAUUGUAGAAUGCUCCAUGAACUUAACAUAUAUCUUUUGGAGUAUGAAUAAUACUAUCAUCUAAAGCGGGUUUGGAAGAGUGUCAACUUUAGUAACUAGUGAUCCCGCUAUUCCGAAUGAGAAGAAUUUUGCUUAUGUGGAGAGUAGAAAAUUUUCUAUGCUUGUAGAUCAUGAAAAGAAUGCUUUAUGUGAUGGUUAUAUUGUUAAAUUCAUUCAUGAUGCCACUGAAAGUUAUCAUGAGGGAGGAAUAUAUGCUUGUAGGAGUUGCAAUAAUAUCAAGUUUCCUCUCUAUGUGCUUAAAGUUUUGAAGUUAUACUUGUUUUGCCUUCCUAUGCUAGUUGAUUCUUGUUCCUAUAAAUUAUGUGUUCACAAAAUCCCUAUGCAUAGGAAGUGGGCUAGAUUCAAAUGUGCUAGUCAUAUUCUUCAUGAUGCUCUCUUUAUGUCCCAAUUCAUAUCUUGUAUGUGAGCAUCAUUGAAAUCAUCAUGCCUAGCUAAAAGGCAUUAAAGAAAAGCGCUUGUUGGGAGACAACCCAAUAUUUACCCUUAUUGUUUUUGUGUGUUUGAAUGAUUAAGAUACUGUAGUAAUCAUGUUUUAUAGGUUUUGUUUCAAUAAAGUGCCAAGUAAGACCUUUGGGAAGACUCGGGUGAAAGUUAAUGUGAUCUUGCUGUAAAAAACAGAAACUUUGCGCUCACGAGAAUAGAUGUCAUUUCUUAAAGAAGAGUGCUUUUGAGUUGAUUCUUUUUGCAGAAGAUUAAUAGACAAAUUCCGCACGUCCACCAAUUUAUUUCAGAAUUUUUGGAGUAGCAGAAGUAUGGUUGGUGUUCAUAUCAUUACAGACUGUUCUGUUUCUGACAGAUUCUGUUUUCAUUGCAUAGUUUGCUUGUUUUCUAGUUUCUAUGGCUUAUAUUUCUCAAUAUAAAUUGUAGAAAUGAUAUGGUACAGUAGAAAUUGUGUGGGAACAAUUAUGAACCUUGUCUUUGACAGUACCAAAGUGAAUGGUUUACUCUUUAUCAUACUAACCUAUCUCACAAAGUUUUGUUAAGUUUUGUGUGAUUGAAGUUUUCAAGCCUUGGGUGAGAUGUCGAUAUGAGGAGAAUAAGGAGUGGAAAGACCCUAAGCUUGGGGAUUCACAAGGCACCCCAAGGUAAUAUUCAAGGAAGACUCAAGUGCCUAAGCUUGGGGAUGCCCCGGAAGGCAUCCCCUCUUUCGUCUUCAAAACUAUCGGUAUACCUUACUCGGAGCUAUAUUUUUAUUCGUCACAUGAUAUGUGUUUUGCUUGGAGCGUAUUUUCAAUUUUACUUGCUGUUUGAAUAAAAUCAUUGGAUAUGAAUUAUUGAAUGAAAAAGAAUCCUCCCAUGGCUAGUUAAUUAUUUGACUACUCGGUGUUCUUCACUUAUAUCUUUUGGAGUAGUUUGUCAUUUACUCAUGUGCUUCACGUAUAUGCUAUGAGUAAAUAGUUGAAUGAAUUGAAUGUCAUAAAUCUGAAUUUAUAUAUGUUUCAUAUUCUUAUGACAUGGGGAGUAAUGACUUCACACAUAAUAAGUAUAGGAAGUAAACGCAUUGAAAGUUAGCAAACGUAGAAUUGGUCACUUGAACAAUUCAUGAAAGAAUAUUGAAGGAAGAGAUAUUUCACAUAUAAAUAUACUAUCUUGGACAUCUUUUGUAAUUGCGAGCACUCAUUGAAAUAUGACAUGCUAAAAGGUUGAUUGUCGGACAAGGAAGACAACGUAAUGGGUUAUGUUUUCUUAUAUCCGAAAUAAAGUAUAUUGUCUUGGAUCAUCCAACAUGUUGAGCUUGCCUUUCCCUCUCAUUGCUAGCCAAAUUCUUUGCACCAAGUAGAAAUACUACUUGUGCUUCCAAACAACCCUUAAAACGAGUUUUGCCAUGAGAGUUCACCAUACCUACCUAUGGCUUGAGUAAGAUCCUUCAAGUAAGUUGUCAUCGGUGCAUGCAAUAAAAAUUGCUCUCUAAAUAUGUAUGAUCUAUUUGUGCGAAGAAAAUAAGCUUUAUACGAACUUGUGAUAGGGAAGAAAUAAAAGCAACGGACUGCAUAAUAAAGGUCUCUAUCACAAGAGACAAUAUAAAGUGACGUUCUUUUGCAUUAAGAUUUUGUGCAUCCACCCUUAAAAGCACAUGACAACCUCUGCUUCCCUCUGCGAAGGGCCUAACUUUUACUUGUAUCUUCUACCUUAUGCAAGAGUCAUGGUGAUCUUCACCUUUUCUUUUUACAUUUUAUCCUUUGGCGAGCACAUUGUGUUGGAAAGAUCCUGAUAUAUAUAUCCAAUUGGAUGUAAGUUAUCAUGAACUAUUAUUGUUGACAUUACCCUUGAGGUAAAAGGUUGGGAGGCGAAUUUAUAAGCCCCUAUCUUUCUCUGUGACCGAUUAAAACUUUGAACCCAUAAAUAUCACGUGAGUGUUAGCAAUUGCGAAAUAUUAAAUGAUAGUGCAGUAUGUGGAGUUUGCUAAAUCAAAGCUCUGACAUAGACCCUUCCUGAAAAUAAGAUGAGUUGCAAUUGUUUGAUGACUAAGAGCACGGUUUGUUAGUUUUCAAGAAAGUUUAUGAUCUAUACUUUAACAUGUGAAUAGCUUGUUACUUGAUCAUGAAAAGUUUUACGAGUUGAGCUACUGUUAUGACAUGUAUUGAUGCUAGAAAAAGUGAUUGAAAUUAUCAUUGAUCAAACUUAUGCACUUGCUAGCAUUCACACUUCAUAAAUUAUUUCUUUUAUCAUUUACCUACUCGAGGACGAGCAGGAAUUAAGCUUGGGGAUGCUGAUACGUCUCCAACAUAUCUAUAAUUUAUGAAGUCUUCAUGCUAUUAUAUUAUCAACCUUGGAUGUUUUAUAUGCAUUUAUAUGCUAUUUUAUAUGAUUUUUGGGACUAACCUAUUAACCUAGAGCCCAGUGCCAGUUUCUGUUUUCUCCUUGUUUUAGAGUAUCACAGAAAAGGAAAACCAAACGGAGUCAAAUUGACCUGAAACUUGACGAAGCUUAUUUUUGGACCAGAAGAAGGCCAAGGAGUCAAAGAGUUGGGCCAUGUCGGAUCUUGGGUUCCGGCAAAACCCUUAAGGUUCGAACUCUGGGGUGCGCGCGAAGUUCUUUCCCUCCUACCGAUCCACGCCCUAGCUCGCUAAGAUCUCACGGAUGAACUCGACGAACUCGCAACACAGAAAGACACGAGAUUUAUACUGGUUCAGGCCACCGAUGUGGUGUAAUACCCUACUCCAGUGUGUGGUGGUGGAUUGCCUCUUGGGCUGAUGAUGAAUAGUACAAGGGAAAGAACAGCCUCCUGAGGUUGAGGUGUUCUUGUGCUUGGUGAACUUGUGUGGUGAGAGCGUGACUUCAUCCCCUUCUACUGUGGUGGCUAGCUCUACUUAUAUAGGCACUGGUCCUCUCCCCAAAUAUUGAGCGGGAAGGGAGCCAACAACGGCGGGCAAAUUUGAAAGGGGACAGCUAGUACAAGCUAUCCUGACAAAAGCGGUCUUCGCCUGCAAAAGGCUCUGGUGAUGACGCCGUCUUGGGCUCCAUGGUGACCUCCGUCUUGCUGUCCUGCUGGUCUCGGUCUCGUUGCACCGAUAUGGAAACCUUUGCUUGACGCCUCAGAACUCCGCACCUGCGCUUGCUUCUUUAGCACCAAAGAGGAAACAAGGACGCUGCGCGCCCUGGCGCCCGCCUGGCGCCUGCCUGGUGUCGAUCGUCAUGGCUCACGUCAUGAGAGCCUCGUGAGGUUUGCCCCUCCUUGAUAUCUCUGCUCCUCGUGAGCCUGCCUGGCUAGGCCGCUCCUGAGGAGGUCUUGCGUCGUCUGCCUCGCGAAGGUCUUGAUUGCCUUGUUGAUGAAGAUGGGUCGUACGGCCCGCUAGCUUAGCCACGCCAUGGGCCGCAGGCAGGCAAGUCUGGGGACCCCCAUUCCCAGAACGCCGACAGUAGCCCCCGGGCCCAAGGCGCGCUCGGGCUUGGCUUCGAGACGAAGCCAAGGGUCAAGUACAGAGCGUUGCGGGCCCCAAAAGCCUGCAGCCUCAGUUGACGGGUGGCGGUUGAUUGGACGUGGGCAUCUCCGCUUCCCCACGCUGCCUUAGAAUCCGCCUGGCUACGCGGCCCCCGCGACCUACACAGUUAUUCCUCCGUCGUCUGUGCCUUGCUUCCCCAAUCUCUCUGCUUCCUCGAGACUCUGUUUCUCUUCUUCAAUCUGACCUGCCCUCUGCCCGCUUCGCUGCCAUGGCGCCGAAACAAGCAGAGAAGGGGAAGAAGCCCCUAUCUCCGCCAAGCGCGCCUCCGGCCGUUGAGCCGGCGCUGGGCCGAUCCCGGGUGCUCAACGACGAGGCCAUGGACAAGGUGCGUCCAAUGCUUGCUUCCAGCUUCAACGAGUGGGGAGAUACGGUGGCUUGGCCCGCGUCUCGCACUCGCAUGGCUCGGGCAGCCACUGAAGUCCCAAUCUUCAUAGAUGCCCUCUGGGCUGGCCUGAUUCCUCCCUUCUCCGCCUUCUUUAAUGCGGUGCUCGAGCAUUAUUAGAUCCACAUGCUGCAUCUUGACCCUCAAUCGGUGACUCUUCUUGCUGUCUUCGCCUUUGUGUGCGAAGCCAUGGUGGGUACCGCUCCUUCGGUGGCCCUCCUCCGCCGUUUCUUCUCACUGCACCUGGCUGACCCUCAGCAGUGCUCGGGGUGCGUGAGCUUCCAGGCCGUGGCCGCAAUGGAGGGCGCGGGGAUUUACUUUGAGCUCCCUUCAUCCACGAGAGAGUUUCGUACACGAUGGGUGUUUGUCGAUGCCGGCGUGCUCAGCCCUCUGCUUCAUGCUCCGGCGGGGCCUGCUGUUCCAAACUCCGGCUGGGGCCACCAGAAGCUCAUGAGCCCCCGCCUCGCUCCCGUCUGGGCUAGGCUAAGGAGGUUGAAGGACCGCGGCGUGACCGCGCCUAUGGUGGUGAAGGAGUUCGUCAAGCCCCGAGUCGCACCGCUUCAGCGCCAUUCCUGCCUGAUGUGAGCCUUGCUCAGCAGUCAGGACCACAUGAGGCUUCAAGAGGAGGGGAUUCCUUUCAAGACGCGGGAGACAGUGCUUACGGUCAUGACGGGUGCCCCUCUACCAGACGACAUGCCCAGGAAGAGCUGCCUGCUGUACCGUUGCGAGAACAAGGUCGAAUUUGCCGAGAGCAUGCCCACCUUUGACGAGUGGGGGCUCCGCCCGAUCGGCCUGGUGGGGCCCCGCAAGAACCCCGUCGACGUGGUUCCCUUCCUUGCCGCCGGUGCCGAGCUCGCCCCAGGUGAGGGUGCAGGAGGGCGAGCUCCGACGGAGGCCGGUGGCUUAAGUGCUGAGGAGCACAUGCUGCGCGGCAAUCCUGGGGCGUCGUCCUCGGGAGCUUGCGACACCUUCCCCGAGACGUCGGUCGCUGAGGAGACGCGGCAUGCAGCUCCCAAGGCCAAGGCCCCGGAAGCCUCAGGAGGUUGUGGUGAGGCGGCGCCCAGCUGUUCGCCGCAGCCAGGCACCCCUGAAGCUGUCCUUCCAAGUUCUUCCUUGACCUCGGCCCGCGCUGGCCGCCAUGUCCAGCGCUUCAGUCGGCUUUGCAUGGACUUCGAGGAGCUCCGCAAGAGCAAAGGAUCCCCGAGCGGCAACAACAUCUUCGGGACGCUGAAGCAAAGGAAGUACAUCACCAUCGAUGCGGGAGUACCGUACUAUUAUGGCUUCUUGCGUGUUGUUUUCUUCUCCUGACGCCAGUCCUUCAGGGCUCCUUCCGUCGAGGCUGCCACGUCUCCUGAGAAGCGGCCUCCUCCUUCCUCGACUCCCCCGUCGGCCUCGAGCGUUCCGGGUCCACUUGCCGCUCCUGGAGCAGGGUUGGUUGAAGGAGCGCUCCUGCCUUCGUGGCGCGCUGAGCCUGCAGCUUCGUCGCCCCUCCCCCACGGUCUGGCGUGGAGCUUGGCGGGCGUGCCCAAGACCCCUCCUCUGGUUAUGGACUGUAGCUGGUUGGCCUCGAUCUUUGGCUCCUCUUCAAGCAGCGAGCCCCGAUUGGCUUGGGCUCCUCACGAGGACCGGUUGACACCAGGUGCAGCACCAGCCCCCAGCCCCCUGCUGAAGGGCGGCGCGCCGCUUGAUGCCCCGCCCGCGGCCCCCGAGGUGGAGGACGAAGUGGGCCGAGCAUUCGAGCUCGAGCGCGGGCGGAGCGUAGUUCGCCAUGGCUCUUCUAGGAGGCAAUGGGCGCAAUGAGCCGACUUGGUGAAGAGCUCGCAGGUGUUGACUCGCGCCUUGAGGCUGAGGGUCUUCGGCUGGUGGAGGAACGGCGCAAGCUGAGGGCGGCUAUCAACCUUGGCCGCUACCAGCGUGAUCUUGAGAACGCGAAGGCCGAGGCGUCCCUCAAGGUUUCCCGCGAAGCUUGCUCCCGAGCCUUGGAGGAGGCUCACGAGGCUGGCUGCCGCCGCGAGGCUGCGGAGAAGCGCGCGUGGAGCUCCAGGCCUGGAGUGCAUCCCUCGAGCAGCAGGUGGAGGCGCGCAGAGCUGCUCUUGCGUCGCUGCGGGGGACGCCUACCGAGGAGAAGGACAUCCGGAAGUGUGAGGAGGCGCUGGCCCUGGAGGCCGUGGAGCGCAGCCUCGAGCUCGAGCAACUGGAGACGAGGGAGCGUCAAGUUGCUUAAGCAGAACAUGCCGUUGGGGUUCGCGAGGCCAAGGUGCAGGAGGAGGUCGACCGCCGGGUGGCCGAGGUUCGCGCAGAUCUAGAGGGUAGGUAUGAUUUGAAAUUGAAGCUCGUAGGGACGGAGGGUGCGGGCAGGGCCGCUGCCCUCAGGCCCAGGUUGGACGAGGCGAAGAGGCGUGGGGAGGCCACGGCCGCCGCCCUGGUCAUGGCGCAGGCGGACUUGGCCUCCGCCCGCGCCGAGCUGCUUUCCCUUCAGAAGCGGGUUGACGAUGCAGAGGCCGCCGUGCGGCAAAACAGGGAGGAAGUGCUCCAAUGGCGGACGUUGGAGCGCGAGCACGCCCCCAUGCUUCAGGAUCUCCGGAACAGGGCUAAUACCGCCCUGGGCUACAUCUGCGACGAGAAUGCACCGCAUCCUCACUCAAAUGACUACGCCAGCCACCUGACCUUCUUCACCGAUGUUGUGACGCGCCUGGAAGCCCGGUCUGACAGGUCUCGCUGGCUCGUGGAAGAGAGAAGUUGGGGCCUGCUCGGGCGCGCGUUCUCUCGCGUCUUUAGCCACCUCAGGAGCACCUUUCCUGACUUCGACUUCGACGCCGCCAUUGCCCCCGUGCCGCAGGCCGUCCGGGGUGACCUGGCGCGGUGGGUGGAGGACAACGUGGAUGCGCUGGUCAGAGCCUUCGCUUCUGACGACGACGCGGUGGUGGUCAUCGCAGACGAAGGCGAUGUGGUUGACAACGGCGAUGAAGGCGUCGCCGAAGGCGGCGACGAUGUCGGCGAAGACGAAGAUGAUGCGAGUGACGCAUCCGAGGGCGACGCAGCAAGUGACAUAUCUGCCUGAUCCCAUGUUCUCCUGUUGUUGCAUCCUGCACGCAAAAACUCGGGCACGGCCCUCGGAAAACUUGUAAGAGCAUUUUGAGAGGGGGAGCCCCUCAUGUAAGCAAGUUGCAGCCUUUACUUUUCUACGUGGUAUUGAGUAUGUGCCCUCGCAAACUCGUAAGUCCAGGGGUGAGUUUCCCGUCGUGGGUUACCUUAGUCAGUGCCAGCCUCGAGCUGGGUCGUGAGGCGUCGAGUUUCUGAGAACCCUGCGGAGCUUGUCGACCCGUCAGGAGGGGCCCCGCAAGAGGCAAGCACCAGUUGCAGCGUUAGCGCACGCUCGGCACGCAUGCGCUUCGCGCAGUCCCGCUCGCGAGGGGCUCAUGAGGGGAAGGCGACGGACAUGAGUCCCAGGCAGAACAAAAUCCAGAAAGCAAGAAAUUGCUUGAAAGAGAAAAGGCACCCCCCCGCGCGCGCACCGAUAAAAACUCGACUUCAACUUAAAUCCAGAUCCAGAAAGGAAGGCUACAGAAAAAAAGAUCCAAAACGAAAGGCCGCGUCCGGCGCCUAUUCUAGUCUUCUGGUCUUCAAGUCUUCUCACCAGCGCGGAGCUAUGUGCUGCCACUAGGCGUGGGAGGGAGCCCCAGGGCCUGAGUCCGGCACCCCUAAGACUCCGGGGCAUGUACAGCCCCAACUCAUUAUUACGUGAGAGUGUCACGGGCAGCGAGCUUCACAUGCACUGGGCCUUCUUCACAGGUACCGGCCUUGCUUCAUGUCGCCAGACGAGGGCCCCGCCUUGCGCCACCCUCGACCACCUUUGAGUCGGCCGGCAACCUGGAUGACACAAAGGGGGGAAAGAGGACGCCAGCGGUGCCCUCGGCGACCACGGGUCCUCUGCCGAGGGAAGGGUCGUCGAGGCCUCCCCGGCAGAGCGCCUACCUCCGGGUGUCGCCCGGCUUCGCGCGACGUAGGGAGGGGCCUUGCUCCUGGCUCCCUCCUGGUGGCCCCCAGCGUGCUUCCCUUGUUGGAAGGGAUGCUGCUGUGCCAGGGUCGUCGAUCGAUGCUGCGACCUGAUUCACUUGCAGCCCAUGGUUAGCGUAAGCCUGCUCCUAAGAGAUUAGUGGUACCCUGUAGUUGCCGUGGAUGGCGCAAUCGUCGUGGUUCUCUGUUGGUUCCUGGAAGGCUUCGACUCCUAGCGCCCCUUCUUCCCAAUCUUCUCCAACGAACGAGUCGGGGUCGUCCUCCGGUGCGUACUCUUGGUCCAUCAUGCGGGGUACGUAGGCUUCCAGGGCCGUUACCCCGAACACCUCGCCGUAGUGCCCCACACUCCAUGUUGCUCGGCCCAGCGUGGCGUCCUGAGGACAGUAGCGCGGCAUCUCGCUGGGACCAUGGGGGGCGACGCUUGUGCCCGUGCUUAUUGCGGGCAGCAUGGGGGCGGAGGAGCCCCCGGCACUGCCGGCUGCGCUGGUGUUGAUGAAGCCCCCAGGCACGCCCGAUGGCGCGUGGUUGCGGCGAGGCCCGCCACGAGGCCCCGCAACGGCCUGAGUAGGGAGCCGAUAGCAGAAGGGCGGUGCUCCUGACGCUGCCGCGUCCAGCAGCUCGGCAACGCGUUCCAGCAGCGCAUCCCGGCCGCUCUCCAUCAGCCGGCACCGCAGCAGCUCUCUUGCCACUGUGAGUGCUGCCCGCAUGUUUGCCUGCUCCCGCCGCGAGUGCGGCGCCGUCGCCGUGGCGUGUCUUGCUGCCCUUGCACCGGUUCGUACUUGUCGUGGAGUGAGGGUGGACGACGCCUGGCCGUGCCGCCCGCGCCCCGCAGCGUUGGACGGCGCUCGCGCCGCCUGGAGCGUGGGGUCGAGGUCUUCAUGGGCAGGCGUCGUCGCCCGGGCCGGCCAGGCUACCCAUCGGUUGGAGUCAGCUCUUGGGUCGCCGGACAUCUUGGCCGUGAAGCGUCGGUAAGUCGAUUGGCGAGGAAGAAGCUCCGGCGCACCCCUACCUGGCGCGCCAAAUAUCGGAUCUCGGGUUCCGGCAAAACCCUUAAGGUUCGAACUCUGGGGUGCGCACGAAGUUCUUUCCCUCCUACCGAUCCACGCCCUAGCUCGCUAAGAUCUCACGGAUGAACUCGACGAACUCGCAACACAGAAAGACACGAGAUUUAUACUGGUUCAGGCCACCGAUGUGGUGUAAUACCCUACUCCAGUGUGUGGUGGUGGAUUGCCUCUUGGGCUGAUGAUGAAUAGUACAAGGGAAAGAACAGCCUCCUGAGGUUGAGGUGUUCUUGUGCUUGGUGAACUUGUGUGGUGAGAGCGUGACUUCAUCCCCUUCUACUGUGGUGGCUAGCUCUACUUAUAUAGGCACUGGUCCUCUCCCCAAAUAUUGAGCGGGAAGGGAGCCAACAACGGCGGGCAAAUUUGAAAGGGGACAGCUAGUACAAGCUAUCCUGACAAAAGCGGUCUUCGCCUGCAAAAGGCUCUGGUGAUGACGCCAUCUUGGGCUCCAUGGUGACCUCCGUCUUGCUGUCCUGCUGGUCUCGGUCUCGUUGCACCGAUAUGGAAACCUUUGCUUGACGCCUCAGAACUCCGCACCUGCGCUUGCUUCUUUAGCACCAAAGAGGAAACAAGGACGCUGCGCGCCCUGGCUCCCGCCUGGCGCCUGCCUGGUGUCUAUCGUCAUGGCUCACAUCAUGAGAGCCUCGUGAGGUUUGCCCCGCCUUGAUAUCUCCGCUCCUCGUGAGCCUGCCUGGCUAGGCCGCUCCUGAGGAGGCCUUGCAUCGUCCGCCUCGCGAGGCUUGGCCCCUCGCGAAGGUCUUGAUUGCCUUGUUGAUGAAGAUGGGUCAUACGGCCCGCUAGCUUAGCCACACUGUGGGCCGCAGGCAGGCAAGUCUGGGGACCCCCGCUCCCAGAACGCCGACAGGCCAGAAGAGACACGGGCUGCCCACGAGGGUGGGGGGCUCGCCCACCCCCCUGGGCGCGCAUCCCUGCCUCGUGGACAG
rnacentral:lncRNA from 1 species